rnacentral:lncRNA from 1 species
UUAAAAAAAGUUAUGGUUGGAUGGGCAAAUAUCUAUCUUAUGGGGGGAGUUGAUUUUGUUGUGCACUUGUGUGGCUAGUAUCCCUGCUUAUCUUAUAUCUCUUAUCAAAUUCCCUAAAUGGGUUCUAAAUGCUACCUCUUCCCAAAUGACCCAUUUUUCUGGGGCAAUAUGGUUGAUGUUCAGAAGUAUAUCAUUUAGCUCAUUGGGGCCUUGUGGCAAGAAAAAUGGUUUUUGGUGGUUUGGGAGUCCUUAAUAUGACAAAUUUCAACAUGGCUUUGUUAACUUCUUGGGGUAAAAGGUUCUUUGAUGGCGGGGACAAAAAUUGGCAGAAGAUGUUUUAUUUUAAAUAUGGCACAAGCAAACCUAAUAUUGUGUGGGCUAAAUCAUGGGUUGGUUCUCCCUUCUGGAAGGGAUUAACCUGGGCCCUUUCUGCCUCUAGGUGUGUUUAUAGAUGGAAAAAUAAUUGGUAAUGGAUCUCAUAUUAAUUUCUGCAUGAUAUUUGGGUGGGAUUGUUCCCUUAAGACUCAGUUCUAGGAACUUUUCAAAACUUGCAAUCAACAAAAUGUCUUUGUUGCCCAUGUGUGGGAUGUGACUGAUCUGCACCUUAGCUUUAGGAGACAUGUAGAUGAGGUGUUGUUUGGUAAAUGGCUUUGCCUUCUUGGCUAUCUACAGUUUGUUGUUCUAUUGACUGAAUAUGAUACCCUAUUUGGAUGCUUGAUCCGCCUGGAUGAGUUUUUAUAAAAUCUUUCUACCAUACCAUCAACUUUGGGGGUGUUGUGCAUCAUUUGAAUGAUUCGAUGUGGAAAAUCAUUUGUCCCAAAAAAUAAUAUCUUUUUUGGCUGGUCACCAAUAAUAAAGUUUUGACUUGACACAAUCUUGCGAAAAGGCAUAUUGUGGAUGAUGCUACUUGUUUUUUCUGUUGUGAACCAGAAUCGAUUAGGCACCUGUUCUUUGAGUGAGUGGUGGCUAGAUUUAUUUGGCAAUUUGUUGUUGGUUGGUUUGCCCUCCUCUUGUAGAACCAGCCACAUAUUUAUAUCAGAGUCGGUGUUGUAAAACAUAUAUGUUUUAAUUUGGUUAGUGAUGCCUCCUUGUGGAGUCUUUUUGUUUAAGGAUUGAGUUUUUGCUUUCAGGGCCGAUCCUACAUAAGUGUGCGCUAUAUCCUGGGCCCGCUGGUUGCCAUGCUUCAUCAAUAGAAACUGAUUUGCAACGACAAGUAAUCGGAAUUGUUGAUAUGGUGUAUACGACUGCGUGCCUGUUAAUGCAACUGCCGAAGAACGUCGUUAGUUCUUGAUCUCCUACGGUUUCAAGGCAGAAGAUUCAUGACGUAGGUCAGGGCUCUGAUGUUUGGUUAGUUGUUUGUAUUUUCAAGAAACUUGUGUAAUAAAUUUCUGUCAUGCUGUACUUUUGCCUAUGAUGCCCUGGUUUUGCUACUCAAGCACGCCUGGUCGUUAUAAUGACUUUUGGUGAUUUUAGUUCAGACUCAUAACAUGAAGGACUCCAACGAUGGUGGUAAAACCGACGUGAAAGCUUUUGGGGUCGACUCAACACAAGAGAUAACAUGAUUCGAAAACAUUGGUCCCUACUUACCGAGCACCAGGACUAUGACAUUUGCCCUGCCAGCGAGUCUGUCAGCCACAUUGUUCUGCGCUGCUUCCCGGCUUCUGUUAUCUGGGCCACGUUCCAUAUGAACGACCUUGCCUCUAGCUCCACGGACAUCGUUCAUUUUAUGCACAGAGCUCAACAGGCUUGGAUCAACUCUAGAGGAGUGCACAUUCUUUUCGCUGUGGCGGCAGUUACUCUCUGGCAUGCGAGAAACAACAGAAUCUUCAACAACAAAAGAUGGCCCCCGUCCUAUCUCAGAAGGUAUAUGUCACAACUCCUUUAGGCUUGGCAGCACCGGGCAAAACAGCAGGCUGACAAGGAUGCUAUUACGAGAUGGAUGUAUCUCCUGAGCUAAUUUAGCUUUGUAGUACUCUUCUUCUCUCCUCUCUUGCCCUGUUCUUCUCUCUCUCCAAUGGCUGCUUAUAGCCAUGGCACUACGGUGCUCAAUGUAAGCUUCAUGUAACUGACCCUUUGGUCCCAGGCCUUGGCCUGUUUGAAAUAUAUGAGGUAGAAUCUCAUCUACCUUUCAUUUCAAAAAAAAAAACCCAAUAUACGUGCUGCAAUUCCUCCUUCUCUCUGGUGGAUAGAUUUUGCUAUUGUAAGUCUUGCUCGUUGUUGCCACCAGUAAUCUAGUAUGUUGGUAUGAAGCAAGAUGAAUGGUGCACUCCACCCACGGUAUAUUAUUCAGACAUCAAACACGCCUGGUGGAUAAUGACAGAAGGGCACAUACAAAAUGACACAACAAAUCCAGGCAACGAAUCAAAACAAAAAGAAAAAAGAGAAUAAACUGAAAGAAAAAAGGGUUCAUACGAAACCCCAUCGUGUGAGGGGGGUACGCGCCUGGUCGCUCGCGCGCAACCUGCUCGCCGAAUAAUAGGCACCACAAUUUUAUUUUAUUUUUUGAGAAAAGUAGGCGCCCCAAUUAGGAGGUCUCCAGGAUUAGGGCAGGACUGCAGCGUGAAAAAAGCUCAGGCGUCGAGCGUGGGCUGGUAGCCUGGCGGCCCAUUUGGUUGUCUUCUUGUUUAACUGGUGCAACAUACUGUAGCAACCACUUUUCUUUUUAUUUGGUUAUAUCUUUGGUGCUUUCGAUUUCCAUUAUUUUUUAUGAAACGCCAAUAAUUUUAAAUUAAAUUUUUUAAUAAACGAGAACAUUUCGUGAGUAAGUUUUGUAGAGAUUUAAAAAACAUAUGUGAACAUUUUUCUAAUUCACGAACAUAUCUUUAUAAAAUGCAAAUGCUUUUUUUAUUUCGAAAAAAAAUUAUAAACCACAAAAAAAAUUCUAAUUCAUUACUGAAUUUUCAAAUUCUUGAAACACAAAUUUUUAUUUGAAUUUUCAUAAAUUCAUAAAUAGUUUUAAACCUGUAAUCAUUAUUAAAUUUUGGGAACAUUUAUUAUAAAAAGCAAACAUUUUUUAGAUUCGUGAAGUUUUUUUUCUUUUGAAAUAGAAUUUAUGGAAAAAUAUGAUUUUUUUUAUAAAAGGAAUAACAAACGUGCAAAAACUAGAAGGAAAAGAGCAAACCAACCAAAAAAGACCGGAAAUAGAUAAUUUGACAUAUUUGUGACAUCUUUGUCCUGCAUGCUUUUUGUAACUUUGGCCAUCAAUUGGACCAGUAAUACAUUAAUACAUAAGUUAUGUAGCGUAAAAUGUAUACCUUUGAAAAAAAAUGUAGGCAAUCCUGCUUACACUUUAGAAGUUUCUAAAAAUAUGUUUAUCUAAUCAUAGACUAGAAAUAAAUAUCAAGAUAUUUGUGUUGAUUGCUUUAGAUAUCUCUAAUAUAAUAUUUAAGUUUAUUAAAAUAUACACACAAACAUACAAUUCACAAUUUGCGGUUUAUGUAAUUAUAAAUAAUAAUUUAUUUUUUUAUAAAUUUUUGUUUACAAUUAGCACAAUGUAACUGUAUUUCGCAAGGACAUACACAAUAAUCGUGUAACAUUAUAACUAAUAUUUAGCAAUAUUGUUAACAUGGUUUAGUAUGCUAACUUGUCUAAUUUUACUCUAUGAGAACAUUGUUAUAAUAUAAUAAAGAAAAUAAGUUGUUUGAAGGUAUAAAAGCUUAUUAUAAAAUAUAUUUAUUUUAUUUUUCUUAAGUACAACAUUGAGUGUUAUAAAUGGUAAAGGACAGUUAGUGUCCAAAAGAGCGCUCGGAGCGGUCGUCAUGCCAUGGUCCAAAGUAGUAGACGAGGACAAACAAAGAUUGAUGUAAGCCAAACUAAAGUAUGAGUUAAUGAUAAGAGAUAUAUCUUUUUCUUGAACUGUACACACAAAUAGACCCUAUUAUUUUUCAUAUCGUAUUUCUUUUCGAACGACCACUAUACCCUUGCAUAAAGAAUUACGGCAAUGUAUAUGUAGGCAACAUAGUUAUAUAAAGUGUUUUAUUGAAAAUGAAGUUUGGGUGAGCGCCUACCUCGCCCUACUGGCUCCUCCGCCUGUUGUCCAAAGCCUGAUGCAACUUAAAUAGUGAACCGGAUCAUUUUUAUUUUUGUUUUGUACUCACAAUACAAUUUAUUUUAUACUAUGUUAUUUAUAUUGGCAACUUAGUCUUUUUUAUAGCUUUAUUUGGUGACAGUUGAAAGACAUCAUUUAUUUAUUUUAUGUUGGUAUCUUAAACAUUUUUACAGUUGUCUACAAUUCAUUUAAAAUGUGUAUUUUGAUAAGAAUGGCAAACAAUUAAGGUACUAAUUUAUGUGCCAAGUGUUAAAGCAGAUUUUAGUCACAAGUGUCAAAGUUGCCUAGCGUCAAAGACCUCCCAAAAAAGAAAAGAAAAGGAAAAUAACGGUUUCAGCAGAUUAUUCAUAAUUCUAUGUUGUCCGGUGAUCUUAUGAUAUUGUCAUUGAAUCAUUAGACAUGCCACACUAUUAAAAGGGGGCAAAGAUGUCGAAGUUGUUUGCUCGGUGCCAAGCAUACUCAUCUAGACACCCACACGCCUCAAAAGAAUGUAAUGAAAUCCUAAGCCGUGGGAGAAAACCCGUGUCUAAAAGCUCAAGUUCAGGGCAAGCCAGACAGUCAGGGGCUAUAAGCCUGCAUGCCCGAAUGGUCUAGACGUACACCAGAAUAACCAGGAUCCUACCAAUGGGUCGGAAGGCCGGGUAGUGUUGGACCUUUGCCUUGACCCGCUCAGUCUCUAGGCUGGACUGUUCAAGGUGAUUACUCAGAUUGUCCGGGGUUUGCCAGGUGAGUGAGGGUUAGGCUGGGGGUAAAUCCCUAGCCACUAUAUCUUUCUGGUCUUCCCCCGCGGCCACUCUGUUAUUGAUAUGGACUGUCUUUACACCUAUUUUUCUUGAGCAGUUUAAACAAGUUGACUUCGAGUACACCCAAACUACGGGCCAGUUUGGUUGACACCCUAAGGCUUUUUUUGGUUCAUAGGAUAGAAUUAUCGUAGAAUAGGAAAUUUAUAGGAAAUGAGAUGACAUGUAACUCAAAUCCUAUGAGUAGGAAUAGAAAACGAGAUGUCAUUUGGUUCACACCAAAUGAAUUUUUCCAUUGAGUCUAGGCUCAUUUUUAUUUUCCUAUGAAAUGUGAAGGAUAGGAACCAAUCCUAUGUAGGAAUAGGAAUCCAUUCCUAUAAAUCAAAAGGCUUUAAAGGAAAAAAUUCUAUAAAAAUCUUAUCCUCUAGAAUUCUUAUAAAAUUCCUACAAACCAAAGAAGACCUAAACUUCAUGCCUGGAAAAAUCUGCUGCCUGGCAUGUGCCUGGACACUUGGUGUUUACCUGCCUGGGAGCACGGCGUUUGGAUUCAUUCCUGGCCUGGUGCUGUGUUAUCUAAUCAUUAAAUAAUAUUUAAAUGGUGCCGGGAAAGCUGCCGCACACCCAGGCGCAAGAAACCGGACGCCUGGGCCAGGCUAAUCCCAUUGCCUGAGCUAAGCAACUAAGCAACUGACUUUGUUUUGUUUUUUCUAAAAUUCACCAGGCUAAUCACGUUCCUGUGGCAGCCAGGCCAGGCAGGCCUUUUCACUCCCAGGAUACCAACAAAACAGCGACCAGGCACAUUCCAGGCACCGUCCAGGCCAGGCAAUCUUUGACGUGGAUGCCAACCAAACUAGCCCUACAUCUAGGAUUACAAAGAAUUAGUUUUUUCCCUAGCCAACAAAUACCUUUAACCACCGCAAAAUAGGUUACCUUUUCACGCAUAUUUUCAAUCCAGCCUCCAUUGGUAUUCCCUACUCUUUCUUGCCCCCAUUUGAGCUAUUCUUGAAAAUUGGGAGAGAUUUGAGAAGGGGUAUAGAGGGAAGCUAAACCAAGUUGAGAUCUUUGAGCUUUUGAACAAGUUUCCAAGUCUCUAGUCGACUUUGUUACUUUUGGAGAUUGGAGACUCCUAAACAGUUGGUCUCACCGAUGAGCUUCUAAGUUGUGAACUGGCCAGAGCUUGUGAAGGUUGGAGGUCACUUCAAGACAUACACUUAGUGGUUGAACCCGGGCUUUGUUUGUCGAGGCCAAAGGAGAAGACAAGACUUUGUAUUGUGAGGUGCUAUUUUUGGCUUCCUCCUCUCCGGCACAGACUAAUGUCCCUCCAAGUACAUUAAAAUGGGGAUACUGUUGAGUCAACCUUGGUCAGCAACAUUUACACAGAUGCAUGCAUGGUUGCAUGUCGGUAGCAGCAAUAGCUGUUACUUAGCAAGGUAGUAAAUUCGGCAGGUCGGCAAGUCGGCAACACUUUCGUGGCUUACCAAUUAAGGCAAGCUAGGUAGUAACUAGUAGUAGUUUCAAGUCUAGUACACGUAUGAGAUGAGGUGGGCAGCUAGUAGAGAUAUUUUUAACUCAUAGUCGGUUUGUAAGCAGUAUAUAAGGAGCUGCACUCCACCCGGUUAUAGCAUUCCACUCCAUUCCGUUCAAUACAAGGGAAUCAGACUCCAGUACUCCGCUCCGGUGCUUGUGUGUGUGCGUUAUAGACUGCACUAGUUGCAGUGCUUUGGUCUAUCUUCCGUAUAGAUCAGUACAUCACUAGUAGUUCAGUACACCGCUAGUAGUUCGGGCCAACAAUUGAUAUCAGAGCCUCAGGUUAUGCCGAAAGGAGGCGUCGCCGACGACGGUUCCAAGACCGCCGAGCAGAGCUCGGCUGAGGACACCCGUGCGGCGGACGCGCUCGCGCUGCGAGGCAGGCCGGGAGGUGAGCUGGGUGCGCCACGCUCCAUGCGAGACAUGGGCAUGUCCAGUACCUCCUUCCCUCUCCUCACGCGGACCAACUAUCCCAGUUGGUCCGUCCUGAUGAAAGUCAUCAUGGAGGCGCGACAUAUGUGGAAAGCCGUGGAAACCGGCGAUGUCGAGUAUGAGGAGGACCGGCUGGCGAUGGGGGCGAUCUUGCACUCCGUCCCAGAGGAGAUGGUGCUCACCCUUGGCGCCAAGGAGACGGCCAAGGAAGCAUGGGACACCAUCAAGACUCUGCGCAUCGGCGUGGAGCGCGUACGGGAGUCGAAGGCCCAGACCUUGCGCCUCCAGUACGAGGAGAUCCGGUUCAAGGCCGGUGAGCAAGUCGACGACUUCGCCUUGCGGCUGCAAGGUCUCGUCAACGAGCUCGCAACUCUCGGAGAUCACAUCGACAACAAGAUGGUGAUUCUCAAGUUCCUCCGCGUCGUCCCCAGGCAGUACAAGCAACUGGCCUGGUCCAUCGAGAGUUUGGUGGAUCUCUCCACCAUGACGAUCGAGGAGCUGGUAGGGCGGCCGAAGGUCGUCGAGGAGCGCGGCGACGAAGCCGACAACCGUGCUGGCGACGAACUACUGCUCACCAGGGAGUAGUGUGACACGCAGCUUCAGCAGCGCAGCUGCGACGGCUCUUCCGGCAGUGGGGGAGGUGCCCCCACGGGAAGCAGAGGUCACGGCAGAGGCGGAGGCGCGCCCAGAGUGGCGGCGGCAACCGUGGUCGCAAGCCAAGCCAGGCAGGGCGAGGCACUGGCAACGAUGGUAAGUGCCGCUAUUGCAACAUGCUGGGUCACUGGAUCCGGGAUUGACGCAGGAGGAAAGCCGACGAGGUAGCCGCGGCAACGACAAACCUCGUCCAGGAAGAUGUGGACGGCGGGCCAGCAAUGAUGCUGGCAAGAGUCGAGCCCGUGCAGGAGAGCACAACGUCUCUUGCGACCACGGCUCCGACAACCGCCCAUUCCGUGCAGGAGGCACGGAACCCGUCCACGGGAACCAUCACUCCAGUGACAGGCCACACCUCGACAACGACGUUCUCGGGGCCUGUCGACUGGGAGGCGAUGAAGGCUCGAGUGUGGGGGAGCCACGCUGUUGGGGAUAUUACUACUGGACGUAAACCGGCCAGGAGUAGCCGAAUUAGCUUUAUGAAGGUUAGAAGCCCAUGAAGACAUAAGAAUGAUGGCGCUUUGUGAAGGCCCAAGGCCCAGAGGCGAGUUAAGGCCUGUAGAUGUAAACCGACCUAAUUAUGUAACUUGCAUUGUAAGAUAGGAAGUGUAGAGACCGAACCGGACACAUUUAUGAUCCGGCUUCGGGACUCUGUAAACUGGCGGGCGUCAACCUAUGUAUAUAAAGGGACGACCGGCAGCGGUUUAGGGACGACAGACAAUAACUCGAGAGCCAGACAAAGCGGAUUCGCUCCCUGGUCUUCGAAACCCUAGCAAUACCAAUCACAACUAGACGUAGGAUUUUACCUUCAUCGAAGGGGCCGAACUAGUAUAAACUCCCCGUGUCCCCUUGUCCGGUUUAACCCCUUUAAGCUAACCCAUUGCGAUGGCUCCAUGACUAAGUCCUUUCACGAGGACAUCUGCCGUGACAAACCCACGACACACACCCCAGCGACGGCGUCCCCGAACUCGGGACCCGACGAGGUCGCGCAAGUUGGCGCGGCAACGACGCAUAUGGCGGACCAUGCUCCGACCAUGAUGCUGGCAACCAUCGACUCCAUGCAGGAGCGCACGGAGACUCAGGUCAGCCACACCCCGACAACAAAGUGUUCGGGGUCCACCGUGUUGAAGGGAGAUGGCUCCCUGACCAUGGCAUGUGUGUGCGGCUACGUCUUCCUCAACGAGGAGAGAGCUGUGACCACACCCACGCUUGAAGGUGGCAAGCAAAGUGAGGGUUGGUUCCUUGACACCGGCGCGACGAACCACAUGACUGGUUCAGUCGACGCGUUUGCAGAGCUGGACCGCUCAAUCACCGGGAAGGUGCGGUUCGCGGACGGAUCUAUGGUGGAGAUCCACAGGCGCGGGACCGUCGUCUUCGCCGACAAAGGAGGUGAUCAUAGGGCGUUCAUGGACGUCUACUUCAUCCCGGCGCUCAAGAGCAGCGUCGUGAGUGUUGGACAGCUCGAUGAGGGCUGGUUUGACAUCGGCAUCCGGCGCGGUGUUCUCACCAUGCGCGACCAGCAGAAGAGGCUUCUCAUCGAGGUAACCCGCUCGGCAAACCGCCUCUACAAGCUCUUCUUUCGACCCGUGCAUCCUGUGUGCCUUGCCGUGGGCCAUGUCUCCGACGCGUGGCGUUGGCAUGCCCGGCUAGGACACCAGCACUUCGACGGGUUGCGGAAGAUGGCGCGAGGCAACCUCGUCCAUGGGCUACCUCACAUCGAGCACGCCGACGAGUUGUGCGAUGCGUGUCUUGCCGGGAAGCAGCGGCGCCUGCCCUUUCCCGAGAAGGCAUGCUAUCGGGCACAGAAACCCCUGGAGCUAGUUCACGGGGACCUCUGCGGCCCAAUUGUUGGGGAACGUAGUAAUUUCAAAAAAAUUCCUACGCACACGCAAGAUCAUGGUGAUGCAUAGCAACGAGAGGGGAGAGUGUUGUCCACGUACCCUCGUAGACCGAAAGCGGAAGCGUUAGCACAACGCGGUUGAUGUAGUCGUACGUCUUCACGAUCCAACAAAUCAAGUACCAAACGCACGACACCUCCGAGUUCUGCACACGUUCAACUCGAUGACGUCCCUCGAACUCCGAUCCAGCCGAGUGUUGAGGGAGAGUUUCGUCAACACGACGGUGUGGUGACAAUGAUGAUGUUCUACCGACGCAGGGCUUCGCCUAAGCACCGCUACGAUAUGAUCGAGGUGGAUUAUGGUAGAGGGGGGCACCGCACACGACUAAGAGAUCAAGAGAUCAAUUAUUGUGUCUUUGGGAUGCCCCCUACCCCCGUAUAUAAAGGAGUGGAGGAGGGGGAGGGCUGGCCCUCUCUAUGGCGCGUCCUAGGGGAGUCCUACUCCCCUGGGAGUAGGAUUCCCCCUUUCCUAGUAGAACUAGGAGCCCUUCCAAGUAGUAGGAGUAGGAGGGAAGGAAAGGGAAGGGAAAAGGAGAAGGAAGGAAGGGGGCGCCCCCCUCCCUAGUCCAAUUCGGACCAGCCCAUGGGGAGGGGUGCGGCCACCCUUUGAGGCCUUUCUCUCCUUUCCCGUAUGGGCCAUUAAGGCCCAAUACGAAUUUCCGUAACUCCCCGGUACUCCCGAAAAUACCCGAAUCACUCGAAACCUUUCCGAUGUCCGAAUAUAGUCGUCCAAUAUAUUGAUCUUUACGUCUCGACCAUUUCGAGACUCCUCGUCAUGUCCCCGAUCUCACCUGGGACUCCGAACUCCUUCGGUACAUCAAAACACAUAAACUCAUAAUAUAACCAGCAUCGAACUUUAAGCGUGCGGACCCUACGGGUUUGAGAACUAUGUAGACAUGUCUGAGACACGUCUCCGGUCAAUAACCAUUAGCGGAACCUGGAUGCUCAUAUUGGCUCCUACAUAUUCUACGAAGAUCUUUAUCGGUCAAACCGCAUAACAACAUACGUUGUUCACUUUGUCAUCGGUAUGUUACUUGCCCGAGAUUCAAUCGUCGGUAUCUCAAUACCUAGUUCAAUCUCGUUACCGGCAAGUCUCUUUACUCGUUUCGUAACACAUCAUCCCGCAACUAACUCAUUAGUUGCAAUGCUUGCAAGGCUUAUAGUGAUGUGCAUUACCGAGUGGGCCCAGAGAUACCUCUCCGACAAUCGGAGUGACAAAUCCUAAUCUCAAAAUACGCCAACCCAACAAGUACCUUCGGAGACACCUGUAGAGCACCUUUAUAAUCACCCAGUUAUGUUGUGACGUUUGGUGGCACACAAAGUGUUCCUCCGGUAAACGGGAGUUGCAUAAUCCCAUAGUCAUAGGAACAUGUAUAAGUCAUGAAGAAAGCAAUAGCAACAAACUAAACGAUCAAGUGCUAAGCUAACGUAAUGGGUCAAGUGUUGGGGAACGUAGUAAUUUCAAAAAAAUUCCUACACACACGCAAGAUCAUGGUGAUGCAUAGCAAUGAGAGGGGAGAGUGUUGUCUACGUACCCUCGUAGACCGAAAGCAGAAGCGUUAGCACAACGCGGUUGAUGUAGUCGUACGUCUUCACGAUCCGACCGAUCCAAGUACCGAACGCACGACACCUCCGAGUUCAGCACACGUUCAGCUCGAUGACGUCCCGCGAACUCCAAUCCAGUAGAGCUUUCAUGGGAGAGUUCCGUCAGCACGAUGGCGUGGUGACGAUGAUGAUGUUCUACCGUCGCAGGGCUUCGCCUAAGCACUGCUACGAUAUGAUCGAGGUGGAUUAUGGUGGAAGGGGGCACCGCACACGGCUAAGAGAUCAAGAGAUCAAUUGUUGUGUCUAUGGGGUGCCCCCUGGCCACGUAUAUAAAGGAGUGGAGGAGGAGGGGGCCGGCCAGGAGGAGGAGGCGCGCCCAGGGGGGAAUCCUACUCCAAGUAGGUUUUGCCCCCUUUCCUAUUCCAACUAGGAGAAGGGGGGAGGAGGAGGUGGAGGGAAGGAAGGAGAAGGGGGGGCCGCGCCCCCUUCCCUUUCCCAACUCGGAUUGGGGCAAGGGGUGCUGCGCGCCACCUCCUNNNNNNNNNNNNNNNNNNNNNNNNNNNNNNNNNNNNNNNNNNNNNNNNNNNNNNNNNNNNNNNNNNNNNNNNNNNNNNNNNNNNNNNNNNNNNNNNNNNNNNNNNNNNNNNNNNNNNNNNNNNNNNNNNNNNNNNNNNNNNNNNNNNNNNNNNNNNNNNNNNNNNNNNNNNNNNNNNNNNNNNNNNNNNNNNNNNNNNNNNNNNNNNNNNNNNNNNNNNNNNNNNNNNNNNNNNNNNNNNNNNNNNNNNNNNNNNNNNNNNNNNNNNNNNNNNNNNCAUUCCGGUGUCCGAAUAUAGUCGUCCAAUAUAUCAAUCUUCAUGCCUCGACCAUUUCGAGACUCCUCGUCAUGUCCGUGAUCACAUCCGGGACUCCGAACAACCUUCGGUAAAUCAAAACUCAUAAACUCAUAAUAUAACCGACAUCAAAAUGUUAAGCAUGCGGACCCUACGGGUUCGAUAACUAUGUAGACAUGACCGAGACAUGUCUCCGGUCAAUAACCAAUAGCGGAACCUGGAUGCUCAUAUUGGCUCCCACAUAUUCUACGAAGAUCUUUAUCGGUCAGACUGCACAACAACAUACGUUGUUCCCUUUGUCAUCGGUAUGUUACUUGCCAGAGAUUCGAUCGUCGGUAUCUCAAUACCUAGUUCAAUCUCGUUACCAGCAAGUCUCUUUACUCGUUCUGUAAUACAUCAUUCCGCAACUAACUCAUUUAGUUGCAAUGAUUGCAAGUCUUAGGUGAUGUGCAUUACCGAGAUGGCCCAGAGAUACCUCUCCGACAAUCGGAGUGACAAAUCCUAAUCUCGAAAUAUGUCAACCCAACAAGUACCUUUGGAGACACUUGUAGAGCACCUUUAUAAUCACCCAGUUAUGUUGUGAUGUUUGGUAGCACACAAAGUGUUCCUCCGGUAAACGGGAGUUGCAUAAUCUCAUAGUCAUAGGAACAUGUAUAAGUGAUGAAGAAAGCAAUAGCAACAAACUAAACGAUCAAGUGCUAAGCUAACAGAAUGGGUCAAGUCAAUCAUAUCAUUCUCCUAAUGAUGUGAUCCCAUUAAUCAAAUGACAACUCAUGUCUAUGGUUAGGAAACAUAACCAUCUUCAAUCAACGAGCUAGUCAAGUAGAGGCAUACUAGUGACACUCUGUUUGUCUAUGUAUUCACACAUGUAUUAUGUUUCUGGUUAAUACAAUUCUAGCAUGAAUAAUAAACAUUUAUCAUGAUAUAAGGAAAUAAAUAAUAACUUUAUUAUUGCCUCUAGGGCAUAUUUCCUUCAGUCUCCCACUUGCACUAGAGUCAAUAAUCUAGUUCACAUCGCCAUGUGAUUUAACAUCAAUAGUUCACAUCACCAUGUGAUUAACACCCAUAGUUCACAUCAUCAUGUGACCAACACCCAAAGGGUUUACUAGAGUCAAUAAUCUAGUUCACAUCGCUAUGUGAUUAAUACCCAAAGAGUACUAAGGUGUGAUCAUGUUUUUCUUGUGAGGGAAGUUUAGUCAACGGGUCUGCCACAUUCAGAUCCGUACGUAUUUUGCAAAUUUCUUUGUCAACAAUGCUCUGCACGGAGCUACUCUAGCUAAUUGCUCCCACUUUCAAUAUGUAUCCAGAUUGAGACUUAGAGUCAUCUGGAUCAGUGUCAAAACUUGCAUCGACGUAACCCUUUACGACGAACCUUUUGUCACCUCCAUAAUCGAGAAACAUAUCCUUAUUCCACUAAGGAUAAUUUUGACCAAUGUCCAGUGAUCUACUCCUAGAUCACUAUUGUACUCCCUUGCCAAACUCAGGGCAGGGUAUACAAUAGGUCUGGUACACAGCAUGGCAUACUUUAUAGAACCUAUGGCCAAGGCAUAGGGAAUGACUUUCAUUCUCUCUCUAUCUUCUGCCAUGGUCGGGUUUUGAGUCUUACUCAACUUCACACCUUGUAACACAGGCAAGAACUCCUUUUUGACUGUUCCAUUUUGAACUACUUCAAAAUCUUGUCAAGGUAUGUACUCAUUGAAAAACUUAUCAAGCAUCUUGAUCUAUCUCUAUAGAUCUUGAUGCUCAAUAUAUAAGCAGCUUCACCGAGGUCUUUCUUUGAAAAAACUCCUUUCAAACAUUCCUUUAUGCUUUGCAGAAUAAUUCUACAUUAUCUCCGAUCAACAAUAUGUCAUACAUAUACUUAUCAGAAAUGUUGUAGUGCUCCCACUAACUUUCUUGUAAAUACAGGCUUCACCGCAAGUCUGUAUAAAACUAUAUGCUUUGAUAAACUUAUAAAAUCAUAUAUUCCAACUCCGAGAUGCUUGCACCAGUCCAUAGAUGGAUCCCUAGAGCUUGCAUAUUUUGUUAGUACCUUUAGGAUUGACAAAACCUUCUGGUUGCAUCAUAUACAACUCUUCUUUAAUAAAUCCAUUAAGGAAUGCAGUUUUGUUUAUCCAUUUGCCAGAUUUCAUAAAAUGCGGCAAUUAAUAACAUGAUUCGGACAGCUUAAGCAUAGACACGAGUGAGAAAUUCUCAUCGUAUUCAACACCUUGAACUUGUCGAAAACCUUUUUGCGACAAUUCUAGAUUUGUAGAUAGUAACACUACUAUCAGCGUCCGUCUUCCUCUUGAAUAUCCAUUUAAUCUCAACGACUCGCCGAUCAUUGGGCAAGUCAAUCAAAGUCCAUACUUUGUUCUCAUACAUGGAUCUCAUCUCAGAGUUCAUGGCCUCAAGCCAUUUCGCGGAAUCUGAGCUCAUCAUUGCUUCCUCAUAGUUCGUAGGCUCGUCAUGGUCAAGUAACAUGACCUCCAGAACAGGAUUACCGUACCACUCUGGUGCGGAUAUCACUCUGGUUUACCUACGAGGUUUCGGUAGUAACUUGAUCUGAAGUUACAUGAUCAUCAUCAUUAGCUUCCUCACUAAUUGGUGUAGUAGUCACAAGAAUAGAUUUUUGUGAUGAACUACUUUCCAAUAAGGGAGCAGGUAUAGUUACCUCAUCAAGUUCUACUUUCCUCCCACUCACUUCUUUCGAGAGAAACUCCUUCUCUAGAAAGGAUCCAUUCUCAACAAUGAACAUCUUGCCUUCGGAUCUGUGAUAGAAGGUGUACCCAAUAUUUUCUUUUGGGUAUCCUAUGAAGACGCACUUCUCCGAUUUGGGUUUGAGCUUAUCACGUUGAAACUUUUUCACAUAAGCAUUGCAACCUCAAACUUUAAGAAACGAUAGCUUAGGUUUCUUGCCAAACCACAGUUCAUAUGGUGUCAUCUCCAUGGAUUUAGAUGGUGCCCUAUUUAACGUGAAUGUAGCUGUCUCUAAUGUAUAACCCCAAAAUGAUAGUGAUAGAUCGGUAAGAGACAUCAUAGAUCGCACUAUAUCUAAUAAAGUACGGUUAUGAUGUUCGGACACACCAUUACACUGUGGUGUUCCAGGUGGCGUGAGUAGUGAAACUAUUUCACAUUGUUUUAACUGAAGGCCAAACUCGUUAACUCAAAUAUUUUACUUUUGCGAUCAUAUCGUAAAAACUUUUAUUUUCUUGUUACGAUGAUUCUCCACUUUACUCUGAAAUACUUUGAACUUUUCAAAUAUUUCAGACUUGUGUUUCAUCAACUAGAUAUACCCAUAUCUGCUCAAAUCAUUUAUGAAGGUCAGAAAAUAAUGAUAUCCGCCGCGAGCCUCAACACUCAUCGGACCGCAUACAUCAUGCUCAACGCAAACACUAAAUAACAUUUAUUUUAGGUUCAACACUAAUCCCGAAAGUAUAGGGAGUGUGCGAUGAUGAUCAUAUCAAUCUUGGAACCACUUUCAAUACACAUCGUCACUUCACCCUUAACUAGUCUCUGUUCAUUCUACAACUCCCGUUUCGAGUUACUACUCUUAGCAACUGAACUAGUAUCAAAUACUGAGGGGUUGCUAUAAACACUAGUAAAGUACACAUCAAUAACAUGUAUAUCAAAUAUACCUUUGUUCACUUUGCCAUUCUUCUUAUCCGCCAAAUACUUGGGGCAGUCCUGCUUCCAGUGACCAGUCCCUUUGCAGUAGAAGCACUUAGUCUCAGGGUUAGGUUUAGACUUGGGCUUCUUCACUUGAGCAGCAACUUGCUUUCCGUUCUUCUUGAAGUUCCCCUUUCUUCCCUUUGCCCUUUUCUUGAAACUAGUGGUCUUUGUCAACCAUCAACACUUGAUGCUUUUCUUGAUUUCUACCUUCGUCGAUUUCAGCAUCACGAAGAGCUUGGGAAUUACUUUUGUCAUCCCUUGCAUAUUAUAGUUCAUCACUAGGUUCUAGUAACUCAGUGAUAGUGACUAGAGAACUUUGUCAAUUACUCUCUUAUCUGUAAGAUUAACUCCCACUUGAUUCAAGCAAUUGUAGUACUUAGACAAUCUGAGCACAUGCUCACUGAUUGAGCUAUUCUCCUCCAUCUUGUAGGCAAAGUACUGUCAGAGGUCUCAUACCUCUCGACACGGGCAUGAGUAUGAAAUACCAAUUUCAACUCUUGGAACAUCUUAUAUGCUCCAUGGCGUUCAAAAAUGUCUUUGAAGCCCCGAUUCUAAGCCGUUAAGCAUGGUGCACUAAACUAUCAAGUAGUCAUCAUAUUGAGCUAGCCAAACGUUCAUAACGUCUGCAUCUGCUCCUGCAAUAGGUCUGUCACCUAGUGGUGCAUCAAGGACAUAAUUCUUCUGUGCAGCAAUGAGGAUAAUCCUCAGAUCACGGAUCCAAUCUGCAUCAUUGCUACUAAGAGUUUUCAACUUAGUUUUCUGUAGGAACAUAUCAAAAAUAAAACAGAGGAGCUAAACGCGAGCUAUUGAUCUACAACAUAGAUAUGCUAAUACUAUCAAGACUAAGUUCAUGAUAAAUUUAAGUUCAAUUAAUCAUAUUACUUAAGAACCCCCACUUAGAUAGACAUCCCUCUAAUCCUCUAAGUGAUCAAGUGAUCCAUAUCAACUAAACCAUAACCGAUCAUCACGUGAAAUGGAGUAGUUUUCAAUGGUGAACAUCAUUAUGUUGAUCAUAUCUAUUAUAUGAUUCACACUUGACCUUUCGGUCUCCAGUGUUCCGAGGCCAUAUCUGCAUAUGCUAGGCUCGUCAAGUUUAACCCGAGUAUUUCUGCGUGUGCAAAACUGGCUUGCAUCCGUUGUAGAUGGACGUAGAGCUUAUCACACCCGAUCAUCACGUGGUGUCUGGGCACGACGAACUUUGGCAACGGUGCAUACUCAGGGAGAACACUUUUAUCUUGAAAUUUAGUGAGAGAUCAUCUUAUAAUGCUAUCGUCAAUCAAAGCAAAAUAAGAUGUAUAAAAGAUAAACAUCACAUGCAAUCAAAAUAUGUGACAUGAUAUGGCCACCAUCAUCUUGUGCCUUUGAUCUCCAUCUCCAAAGCAUCGUCAUGAUUUCCAUCAUCACCGGCAUGACACCAUGAUCUCCAUCAUCUUGAUCUAUAUCAAUGUGUCGUCACAUGUCGUCUCGCCAACUAUUGCUCUUGCAACUAUUGCUAUCGCAUAGCGAUAAAGUAACGCAAUUAUUUGGCGCUUGCAUCUUAUGCAAUAAAGAGACAACCAUAAGGCUUCUGCCAGUUGUCGAUAACUUCAACAAAACAUGAUCAUCUUAUACAACAACUUAUAUCUCAUCACGUCUUGACCAUAUCACAUCACAACAUGCCCUGCAAAAACAAGUUAGACGUCAUCUACUUUGUUGUUGCAAGUUUUACGUGGCUGCUAUGGGCUGAGCAAGAACCGUUCUUACCUACGCAUCAAAACCACAACGAUAGUUUGUUAAGUUAGUGUUGUUUUAACCUUCUCAAGGACCGGGCGUAGCCACACUCGGUUCAACUAAAGUUGGAGAAACUGACACCCGCUAGUCACCUGUGUGCAUAGCAUGGCGGUAAAACCAGUCUCGCGUAAGCGUACGCGUAAUGUCGGUCCGGGCCGCUAUCGCCCACAACUCACUUGUGUUCUACUUGUGCAUAUUACAUCAACGCAUAAAACCUGGCUCGGAUGCCACUGUUGGGGAACAUAGUAAUUUCAAAAAAAUUCCUACCACACGCAAGAUCAUGGUGAUGCAUAGUAACAAGAGGGGAGAGUGUUAUCCACGUACCCUCAUAGACCGAAAGCGGAAGCGUCAGCAUAACGCGGUUGAUGUAGUCGUACGUCUUCACGAUCCGACCGAUCAAGUACCGAACGCACGGCACCUCCGAGUUCUGCACACGUUCAACUCGAUGACGUCCCUCGAACUCCGAUCCAGCCGAGUGUUGAGGGAGAGUUUUGUCAACACGACGGUGUAACACCCCGGAUGUAAUUUACCUUAUCUGUACUCCAACUAUUGCCGUUUCCGGCCUAAGUUAUUUUAUUUACCUCGGGUUCAGGUUUUUGUCUCCGUGUGUUGUUGCCUUUGUCAUGCAUCUCAUGUCAUGUCAUCAUGUGCAUUGCAUUUGCAUACGUGUUCGUCUCAUGCAUCCGAGCUUUUUCCCCGUUGUCCGUUUUGCAUUCCGGCGCUCCUAUCUCCUCCGGUGCCCCUUUCUACCUCUUUUCAUGUGUGGGGGUUAAACAUUUUCGGAUUGGACCAAGACUUUCCAUGCAGUCUUGGUUUACUACCGGUAGACCGCCUGUCAAGUUUCGUGCCAUUUGGACUUCGUUUAAUACUCCAACAAUUAACCGAGGGACCAAAAAGGCCUCGUGUGUGUUGCAUCCCAACCCCCUUCCAAUUUGGCCCAAAAACCCACCAAAACCUCUCCCAUCGUCUAGAGCAUUCGAUCACGAUUGCAUGGCCGCAAACCACACUCCAUUUGGAGCUUCCUAGCUCCCUCUAUGCCUAUAAAUAGAUCCUCUUCCGAAAUCACGGGUCUCCUUCCCCCUAACCCUAGAUAAUUUUCCCCGCAGCGCGCCGGACAACGUCCGGGCGCGCAGGACAUCGCCACCGCCACAACCAGAAGCUGACACGUGGCGCGCGAGAGCCUCACUUUGCCGCGCCGCCGCCCAACCCGCUCGGCCCGCGGGAGGCCCCCGCGGCCCAUCUGCCUUCCCCGUCGCCCCCGUGCUCUUUCUCCUCCGCCGCGGGGCAGCACGCCGGCCACCGCGCGCCAUUGCUGCCGUCUCGCGGGCGAGCUUCCCCGCCACCGCGCGCCACCCUGCCGCCGCCGUUCUCCGCCGCCGCCGUCACCUCUUCACCGCCCCGAGUCGCCGCCUCGCCGUGCCGCCGCAGGAGGUCGCCGGCGACGCCCCCAACUCCGGUGUCCCUCGCUACUCCAGUCGCCGCGUUCUUCGUCCCCGGCGAACCUCGGCAUCUGCGCUGCUAUAGUGCUCGUGCUACAGUAGAUCUUAGAUCUAGAUCUCGGUUGACCUUUUCACCCCCGAAACCCUAAUUAUUUUGCAAACUUUGGCAUGUCGUAUCUCUGCAUCCGUAGCUCCGAUUUGCGCGUGCAGCAUAUCAAAAUGUUCGUCUCAAAGAGUACAUCAUUUCAUCUCAUUGCAUCAUUUUCAUUUGAGCUCAUCUUGAUGCCCGAAAUGCUGUUGGAAGAGGGCUAUAUGAUAAACUUGGCAGAUCUGUUUCAUCAAAUAGCUAUUUGUCAUUUUUGCCAUGAUUAAUGUGUGCAUGAUAUGCUCCUGAGCUCUACAUGAGUUUUGUUAUAUGCCAUGCCAUCUUUACAGACGUGCUUACCAUGUAUUUUUGUGAUUUGUGAGGUGACUAGCAAAAGCUUGCAAAGUAGCGUAAUCGGUAUGCUGAUUUCAGGGACUUCGAAUUUCACCAAGUCCUUGUUCUAAUUUUGUCAUUAUGCCAUAUGUUCAUGUUGUUUCCUAGUGAUCCGUGCCUCUUUUGAGGAUGAUCAGUAAGGAUAAUUUGUUAACAUUGUGGUGCUCUAUCCAUCCAUGUCUUUGUUUGCAUUUAUGGAGCACCCUAGCUUGAGACAAUCGAGCUCUACUUUUGCUAUAUCGUGAAUCCUGACAGAUUGUUGACUUGUUAGCGAUUUUGCCGAGGAUGUUGCUAUUGAUCCGUGCAUGCUAUGAAGUUGUUCUUGCCAUUUCUAGCUUCUAUGCCAUGUAAUAUUGAUGGUUAUAUGCUUAGAUUGUCAUGCCAUGCUCUGUAGUGAGUGCAUCGAGCUCGUAAACAUGCCUACUCGUUAACUGAUUUGCAUGUCCAGUUUUUCACUAAGUCUGAGAUCUGUUUAUGUUUUUGCCAUGUUCACAUGCUUGCAAUUGUACUUUCUGAUCCCUUUUGGCUCAAGUUCACUAAGGGACUUUUGUUAAGUGCUUUGAGUAGCUUCAUGUCAUGCCUUGAUUUGCCAUGUUAAGUUCCUGUAGCAUGUAGUUUUCAUGCUCUAAAGUGUGCUUCCUGAUGAUAAAUUCCAGACUUCUGUUAAUUUCACUAAGUCUGAAACCUGUUACCAUUUGCAUUUUUGCCAUGAUUGUUUGAACCUGUUAAUGGAUGAAUUAGCCGUAGCUCAGUGUUCAUUGUUUGUCAAGCAUCAUGAGUGGAUCCCUGCCAUGUAUUUUGUUGUCAUGUUUGAGUUCUGUAGCUUAUUUAUCUUGAUGCAUUUAGAUGGCUACUUGCUGAUUAUCGCAAACCGGUGCCAUAUUUGUUUUGCUUGCCAUUUCCAAACCGUGCAUCCGAUUCCGGUGAUCUUUAUAUCGAUUUCAACCGAAAUCACCUUACCUUUCCAGUGGAACUCUUGGAUUUCGAAGUUGAGGCCAGGUUCAAUCAUUCCUUGUCAAAUCUUGCAUAUGCAUCACAUAUCGCAUCCCGCAUAGCAUACCAUGUUCGCAUCAUGUUGUUUGAGCAUUGCACGUGGUUGAUUGUGUUCCUUUUGAUUGUUUGGGUAGAGCCGGGAGAUGAGUUCGCUAACGAGGAGUUCGCUUACGAGGAUCAAGUCAACUCUGACAACUUUGCAGGCAAGAUGAUCAUACCCUCAAAAUCACUUCUAUCUUUGCUUGCUAGAUGCUCGCUAUUUUGCUAUGCCUAUGCUACGAUACCUACCACUUGCUUAUCAUGCCUCCCAAAUUGCCAUGUCAAACCUCUAACCCACCAUGUCCUAGCAAACCGUUGAUUAGCUAUGUUACCGCUUUGCUCAGCCCCUCUUAUAGCGUUGCUAGUUGCAGGUGAAGAUUGGAGAUCGUUCCUUGUUGGAACAUUGUUUAUUGUUGGGUUAUCACCAUAUUAUCUUGUUAUAUUAAUGCACCUAUAUACUUGGUAAAGGGUGGAAGGCUCGGCCUUUUGCCUAGUGUUUUGUUCCACUCUUGCCGCACUAGUUUCCGUCAUAUCGGUGUUAUGUUCCCGGAUUUUGCGUUCCUUACGCGGUUGGGUUAUAAUGGGAACCCCUUGACAGUUCGCCUUGAAUAAAACUCCUCCAGCAAUGCCCAACCUUGGUUUUACCAUUUUCCACCUAGCAUCUUUUUCCCUUGGGUUUCUGGAGCCCGAGGGUCAUCUUUAUUUAAACCCCCCCGGGCCAGUGCUCCUCUAAGUGUUGGUCCACCUCGUCAGCCGCCGGUGGCCACCAGGGGCAACUCUGGGCUGACCUACCAGAAGUUUGGACAAUCUGAGUGUGCCCUGAGAACGAGAUAUGUGCAGCUCCUAUCGGGAUUUGUCGGCACAUUCGGGAGGUGUUGCUGGACUUGUUUUACCAUUGUCGAGGAUGUCUUGUAACCGGGAUUCCGAGCCUGAUCGGGUCUUCCCGCUAGAAGGAAUAUCCUUCGUUGACCGUGAGAGCUUGUGAUGGGCUAAGUUGGGACUCCCCUGCAGGGUUUUGAACAUUCGAAAGCCGUGCUCGCGGUUAUGGGCAGAUGGGAAUUUGUUAAUGUCCGGUUGUAGAUAACAUGAAACUUAACUUAAUUAAAAUGAAUCAACCGCGUGUGUAACCGUGAUGGUCUCUUCUCGGCGGAUUCCGGGAAGUGAACACAGUGUUGGAGUAAUGCUUGACGUAGGUUGUUAUAGGAUCACUUCUUGAUCAUAGUUCUUCAUCCGUGCUUUGACUUCUCUUCUCGCUCUCUUUUGCGAAUAGGUUAGCCACCCUAUAUGCUAGUCGCUUGCUGCAGCUCCACAUAUUACCUUGCCUUUACCUAUAAGCUUAAAUAGUUUGAUCGCGAGGGUGCGAGAUUGCUGAGUCCCCGUGACUCACAGUUUACUUCCAAAACCAGAUGCAGGGACCGAUGAUACCGUUCCAGACGAUGCGCUUGAGCUCAAGUGGGAGUUCGAUGAAGACUCUCGCCAUUACUAUGUGUCUUUCCCAGAUGAUCAGUAGUGGUGCCCAAUUGGGGCGAUCGGGGACCAUGUCGCAUGUUGGGAUUGAUCUUUUAUUUUGGUACCGUAGUCGGACCAUGAGUGUAUUGGAUGAUUGUAAUUUUAUUCAUGUAUUUGUGUGACGUGGCGAGUGUAAGCCAACUAUGUAUCCUUUCCCCUUUUAUAUAUUUACAUGGGUUGUUGUGAAGAAUACCUUACUUGCGACAUUGCUUUCAAUGCAGUUAUGCCUCUAAGUCGUGUUUCAACACAUAGGAGAUAUAGCCGCAUCAAGGGCAUUACAGACGGCGUGGUGACAAUGAUGAUGUUCUACCGACGCAGGGCUUCGCCUAAGCACCGCUACGAUAUGAUCAAGGUGGAUUAUGAUGGAGGGGGCACCGCACACGGCUAAGAGAUUAAGAGAUCAAUUGUUGUGUCUUUGGGGUGCCCCCUGCCCCCGUAUAUAAAGGAGUGGAGGAGGGGGAGGGCUGGCCCUCUCUAUGGCGCGCCCUAGGGGAGUCCUACUCCCACCGUGAGUAGGAUUCCCCCUUUCCAAGUAGAACUAGGAGCCCUUCCAAGUAGUAGGAGUAGGAGGGAAGGGAAGGGAAGGGAAAAGGAGAAGGAAGGAAGGGGGCGCCCCCCUCCCUAGUCCAAUUCGGACCAGCCCAUGGGGAGGGGUGCGGCCACCCUUUGAGGCCUUUCUCUCCUUUCCUGUAUGGCCCAUUAAGGCCCAAUACGAAUUCCCGUAACUCCCCGAUACUCCCGAAAAUACCCGAAUCACUCGGAACCUUUCCGAUGUCCGAAUAUAGUCGUCCAAUAUAUCCAUCUUUACGUCUUGACCAUUUCGAGACUCCUCGUCAUGUCCCCGAUCUCAUCUGGGACUCCGAACUCCUUCGGUACAUCAAAACACAUAAACUCAUAAUAUAACUGUCAUCGAACUUUAAGCGUGCGGACCCUACGGGUUCGAGAACUAUGUAGACAUGACCGAGACACGUCUCUGGUCAAUAACCAUUAGCGGAACCUGGAUGCUCAUAUUGGCUCUUACAUAUUCUACGAAGAUCUUUAUCGGUCAAACCGCAUAACAACAUACGUUGUUCACUUUGUCAUCGGUAUGUUACUUGCCCGAGAUUCAAUCGUCGGUAUCUCAAUACCUAGUUCAAUCUCGUUACCGGCAAGUCUCUUUACUCGUUUCGUAAUACAUCAUCCCGCAACUAACUCAUUAGUUGCAAUGCUUGCAAGGCUUAUAGUGAUGUACAUUACCGAGUGGGCCCAGAGAUACCUCUCCGACAAUCGGAGUGACAAAUCCUAAUCUCAAAAUACGCCAACCCAACAAGUACCUUCGGAGACACCUGUAGAGCACCUUUAUAAUCACCCAGUUACGUUGUGACGUUUGGUGGCACACAAAGUGUUCCUCCGGUAAACGGGAGUUGCAUAAUCUCAUAGUCAUGGAACAUGUAUAAGUCAUGAAGAAAGCAAUAGCAACAAACUAAACGAUCAAGUGCUAAGCUAACAGAAUGGGUCAAGUCAAUCACAUCAUUCUCCUAAUGAUGUGAUCCCGUUAACCAAAUGAAAACUCAUGUCUAUGGUUAGGAAACAUAACCAUCUUUGAUCAACGAGCUAGUCAAGUAGAUGCAUACUAGUGACACUCUGUUUGUCUAUGUAUUCACACAUGUAUUAUGUUUCCGAUUAAUACAAUUCUAGCAUGAAUAAUAAACAUUUAUCAUGAUAUAAGGAAAUAAAUAAUAACUUUAUUAUUGCCUCUAGGGCAUAUUUCCUUCACCAAUCACCCCGGCAACGCCAGGAGGGCGUCGCUACAUCGUGCUGCUCGUCGACGACUAUAGCAGGUUCAUGUGGGUGCUGCUCCUCGCCUCCAAGGAUGAGGCAGAGCGAGCCAUCGUCAGGCAGCAAGCGGCAGCUGAGGUCGAGUGUGGCCACAAGUUGCGCGUGCUGCGCACGAACCGUGGCGGCGAGUUCACGUCGGCCACGUUCUACAAGCACUGCGACGAGAAAGGGGUGCAACGUCACCUCACAGCCCCUUACUCGCCGCAGCAGAAUGGCGUCGUCGAGCGGAGGAACCAGACGGUGCUCGGGAUGGCACGCUACAUGCUCAAGGCAAAGGAGGUGCCGAGCACGUAUUGGGGGGAGGCCGUGCUCACGGCUGUAUUCAUCCUCAACCGCUCCUUCACAUGGAGCGUCGAUGGCAAGACGCCUUAUGAGGCGUGGUACGGAAGGAAGCCCGAUGUACGCUUCCUCCGUACCUUUGGCUGCGUCGGGCAUGUUAAGACGGCGCGCCCACAACUCAAGAAGCUCGACGACAGGAGCACCCCAAUGGUGUUCAUGGGCUACGAGACGGGCUCUAAGGCGUAUAAGAUGUACGACCCCGUCUCAAAGCGUGCGCAUGUCUCGCGCGACGUCAUCUUCGAUGAAGAUGCGCGAUGGACUUGGGAGGCGUCGGGGGAGUCCCCGGCAAGCAGCUCCUUCACCGUGGAGUACCCGAUGUACUCUAGGACCCCGGGAAGCAAGACCCCGGGAAGUUCCACCCCGGGAAGCCCGGGAUGUGUGGAUCCGGGAACCGCAACCCCAAGAACCCCGUCCCCGGGUACGGUGUCCCUGGACACCCCGACGUCAAGCAAGGUGGGUCCCGGGAGGCAGUUCGCAACCCCGCCAAUGGUGAGGUCAGAGUUGUUCGACGCCGACGACAGCGUUGGCGCCCCCCAUAGGUUUCGGUGCAUGGGGGAUCUCCUCGACGAGGCUGCGGCAACACCGCAACAGCCCGAGGAAGGGGAUGUUGAUGACGACGACGUCUUGCAUCUGAUGGCCGGCGAUGAGCCGACCACGUUCGUAGAGGCCGAGCAAGAGGAUUGCUGGCGCCACGCGAUGCUGGACGAGCUGGCGUCGAUCAACGACAACGCCACUUGGACACUCACCACACUGCCUGCUAGGCACCGAGCCAUCGGGCUCAAGUGGGUGUUCAAAGUCAAGAAGGACGAGCACGACGUCAUUGUCAAGAACAAGGCACGCCUCGUCGCAAAGGGCUACGUGCAGCGUGAGGGAGUGGACUUCGAGGAAGUCUUCGCUCCGGUGGCAAGGCUGGAGUCCGUGCGGCUCAUCCUUGCCGUGGCUGCUCACCGUGGUUGGGAGGUACACCACAUGGACGUCAAGUCGGCAUUUCUGAACGGCGAACUUAACGAGGAGGUGCAUGUCUCCCAGCCACCAGGGUUCGUUGCCAAGAACCACGAGCAGGGUGUCUACAGGCUACACAAGGCCCUGUAUGGUCUCCGGCAAGCCCCAAGGGCGUGGAACACCAAGCUCGAUGUAAGCCUCGCAUCUCUUGGGUUCUCACGGAGCACUUCUGAGCACGGCGUGUACUCACGUGGCACCGCGAACACGCUGCUCAUCGUCGGCAUCUACGUCGAUGGCCUGGUCAUCGCCGGGGCAGAGCCUGAAGAGGUUCAACGCUUUAAGGGAGAGAUGCAUCGUCUCUUCAGCAUGAGCGACCUUGGGCUGCUCCGGUACUACCUCGGGCUGGAGGUGAACCAGGAGGGUGGUUGCAUCACGAUCACACAGACGGCCUAUGCCACCAAGAUGCUCGAGCGAGCAGGCAUGAAGGACUGCCAUGCCGUGCACGCUCCAAUGGAGGCACGGUUGAAGCUCAGCAAGGAUAGCCCCGAGAAGGCGGUGGAUGCCACACUCUACCGUAGCAUCAUCGGGAGUCUUAGGUACCUCGUGCACACCCGACCGGACAUCACGUUCAUUGUCGGAUACCUGAGUAGGUUCAUGGAAGCUCCGGCAAGCGAUCACCUCGCUGCCGUCAAGCACCUGCUCCGAUACAUCGCGGGAACGCUCACGUAUGGAUGUGUGUAUCAUCGUGGUGAUGGCGAGAGCUUGGUCGGGUACAGCGACUCCGACCAUGCUGGUGACGUGGACUCCCAGAAGCGCACCUCGGGCAUACUAUUCCUUCUCGGGAAUAGUCCCGUCAGCUGGCAAUCGGUGAGGUAGAAGGUUGUCGCCGUAUCUUCGUGCGAGGCGGAGUACAUCGCGGCAGCUACAUCGGCAUGUCAAGGCAUUUGGCUUUCUCGCCUUCUCGGCGAGAUGCUGAAUCAGGACACCGCCCCUGCGCUCAUCUUCGUCGACAACAAGUCGGUGAUUUCCCUUUGCAAGAAUCCAGUGCUUCACGACCGCAGCAAGCACAUCGAUCUCCGCUAUCACUUCAUACGUGACUGCGUCGAGAAAGGCACGGUGAUCGUGGAGUUCAUCGAGACUGGUGAGCAGAAGGCGGACAUCCUGACAAAGGCACUUGGCCGCGUCCGGUUCCAGGAGCUGCAUGACAAAGUCGGGAUCAUAGACACCAAGCUGCUUUGACAAGGUUGAGGGGGAGAAUGUUGAGUCAACCUUGGUCAGCAGCAUUUACACAGAUGCAUUCAUGGUUGCAUGUCGGCAGCAGCAGUAGCUGUUACUUAGCAAGGUAGUAAAUUCGGCAGGUCGGCAAGUCGGCAACACUUGCGUGGCCUACCAAUUAAGGCAAGCUAGGUAGUAACUAGUAGUAGUUUCUAGUCUAGUACACAUAUGAGAUGAGGUGGGCAGCUAGUAGAGAUAUUUUAACCCAUAGUCGGGUUGUAAGCAAUAUAUAAGGAGCUGCACUCCACCCGGUUAUAGCAUUCCACUCCAUUCCGUUCAAUACAAGGGAAUCAGACUCCAGUACUCUGCUCCGGUGCUUGUGUGUGUGUGCAUUAUAGACUGCACUAGUUGCAGUGCUUUGGUCUAUCCUCCGUAUAGAUCAGUACACCACUAGUAGUUCGGGCCAAUAGAUACAUCAUCCUGUGCCCACUCUUGUUAUUACUUUCCUGGAUCUUAUUAUUGCAAAUUGCUUAUCAUAUAUGGUAUUCCCUUUGUUGCAAUUCUACAUAACUUAUAGUUCUAUACACACCUACAAUCAACUAAGAAAAUAUCACAAUUUGUAGUCGUCUUUCAACCCCUUCCCUCCUCCAUAGUCAUCUUUGAUCCUUCACAACUGAGUAGUGCUUGUUUAAAAUUAUUGCCACGCCAGAACUCUUACUUGGUUGGAGCAUAAGUGUAUGCCUCAUUUCUAUGUGCUACAUGUACAACCCGAGGAAUGAACCAAGCUUUCAUAAUUCACACAAUCGAAAUUUCUUAAUUCAUAUUAAUCAAUUUGGAUAAAUCGAUAACAAAUCGCAGAGAAUCAUAUCAUUGGACUCUAGCGGAGGCGGUCAAUUGUAGUAGACUGUAAGGUAUCAUUGAUACUAGAUCUCAUUGAACACGGCAAAGAGGUCCCCGUGGAUGUAGUUGUUGUUCACGAGAUUAACCAAGUAGUAGCUCUUCUGAACCUGCAAGUGAAGAGGAGCAAGAUGUCAGUGAAAUCCCUAGGGAUAUAUUAUUACUUGCUAUGAUAUCGACAAUAUCUUUGCAGCAAUUCAUCAGAAAUACCAAUAUAUGGAGUGCCACUGGAACUUAGGUAGCUGUGAUAACUCCAUAUGGAAAAGGUUAAUUAUGGUCCAAUGUCAGUGAAAUCCCUAGCGAUAUAUUAUUACUUGCUAUGAUAUCGACAUUAUCUUUGCAGCAAUUCAUCAGAAAUACCAAUAUAUGGAGUGCCACUGGAACUUAGGUAGAUGUGAUAACUCCAGAUGGAAAAGGUUAAUUAUGGUCCAGAGAGCAUUUGGAACUUAAAACAGUUGUCGUAUCUGAUAGGUAAUUGGCUCAAAGGUGUUUCUCUAUUCUAGAGACAAGUUUGUUAGCAAAAGCUGGGAGAUAUCAGGAAUUAUAAACGUUGGCUAGAUAUCGGGAGUUAUUUACCCAAAACCACCACACUUGGGGCUAGGGUAACCGGUCGGUACCACAUUUAAGCCAUGUCACAAAAAACCACCAACUCUGGGACUAAUCGGUACCGCGGAGCACUGACUGGUCGUUUUAGCCGCGGAAAUAGCGAAACCGACAGGUCGGGCCCACCUGUCAGGUCGACGUGGCGCGGGCUGACAGACGCCGUUAGAUGGAGGGGGACGGUCGUUUCCGCGACCGUGUAUUAGUGGGCCGUGCGGGUCGCUCGUCGGACCAGACCGCACCAGAGCACAUCCGACCCCUCUGUCUCGACCUCGACGACCGCCGCCGCCGCUGCCACCGUCGUCUCGCCGCCGUCCGCCGGUCCGCCAUGGUUUCCUGGAGCGAGGGGUCAAGCUCUUCUUCUUCGAACGACGAGUCAGUGACUAGCCAGGUACGUUCAUUUGGGGAUUCCAACAUUUAGGGUUAGGGUUAGGGUUCUUGAGUUGGGGAUUUCUUACCAAGUCACUGAUUUCUUCAAUCUCUUUGGUUUUAAGCUUCCUAGGACUAUCCCAUGCUAUGAAUGGAGUGGCAUUGCUCAUGAGCUCUCCUCUCGCUGUCUGCAUCGCGAGCCUUGCCUCAGGCUAGUAGCAUUUGAAUCUACGGACAUUGGCCGACGUUUUCUUGCUUGCGCUGAGGAGAAGGUAUGUUGGUUAGUACUGUAUUUAGUUAACCUUAGUUAGUUUUUGCUCCAUUCAAAUGCCAGAAGGAAAUUUUGCUCUGCUUAUUAGUGUGAACAAUUGUCAUUGCCCACAGUUGGAUUUAAUUAUGCUCUUACAGUAGUAAAUUAUGCUAUGCCAGUGUAAUUUGCUCCAAAUAAUUAAGUAGUGUACAACAUUGUUAGUUCCAGUAGGAAAUUAUGCUAUGGCAGUGUAAUUUGCUCAAAUAAUUAAGUAGUGUACAACAUUGUUAGUGCCAGCACUAAAUUUGUACUUACUAAUGACAACAUAUAUUUAGUUUAUAUGCUGUUAAAAGUGACAAAAAUUUCUUAUUGACAACACAUAUUAAUUUGAUAGGCUUUCUUAAUUGUUUGUGCAUUUAAAUGAACACAAUUUGAUAGGCUUUCUUAUUGACAACACAUAUUAAUUUGAUAGGCUCUCUUGUGUAGUAUGAUUGACAAUAUAUUUUUCUGAAUUAUAGGCUGAACUAAAGUGCAACUAUCUGGAGUGGAUAGAUCCUGAGUGGUCAGUGGCUAUGCAGUUCUGCCUAACUGAAUUGUGGGGCAUGUAUGACAAAGAAAUCAAUGACAGGGUGAGAGACAAUGUUCAACUUGGUGAUCAGAAUUACAAAUUAGUUGGAGAAAAAAGGAAGAUGGAAGAAGAGCUGAGAUUUUCAAACUUGAUUUUGCAAAAAUGGUGGUUGACAAGGAGGAUGCUAUUACUGAGCUGGGCAAUACUAGGUUGGAUCUCAAUGAUCUGAAAGAGGAUAUGGAGAAGAAGAAGCUAGCAAACCAUGGUUGCACAAACCUACAUCAGUUACUCAGGGCAAAGGCAGAGAAGGAGAGGGACAAGCUUGUGGUAGAGAGAGACCAAGUGCUCAUAGAGAGAGACCAACUAAAGGAAGAGAAGAAAAAGCUAGAGUACAUCAUCUCUGAUUUGCUGAAACAGAAGCAUGGCUACAAGGACAAGAUCAAGAAGUUGAAGGAGAUCUGUGAUGAAUUUUAAUUAUGUGAUGUGGCAUUGUACUGGUGUAGUUGUGCUCUGUUGCACUGAAUAAUCAGCCCUACUAGAAGUGCACUGUACUAUUGUAAUGGUUAAAUUUGUACUGAAUUAUGCAGUUUUUAUCUGCAAGUCUAGAUUUUGAACUUAUGGCAUGAAUUUGAACUUAAUUUGUAGUGCUAUCUCUUGUAUCAUAUUGAGUACUCUAUUAUAUUUACUUCACUCCAGGUGAAACUGCUGUGAUAGUCAAAUUAUUGUGCACAGAAAAAUUUGAAAUACUAGUAACUUAUGGCAUGAGUAUACCAGGAACUUUCAUUAUUAUUAUGCACAUAAUGUGAUGAUCAGGGAGUGCAAACAACAUAGCAGUACAGAGUAAAUGUAGCAGUGCAAGCACAUAAUUGUAGAUAUGUACAUGAUGAUUGAAGCAAGCCAACAUAGUAGUACACAAGAAUAAUAGAUAGUAGUUCCUCAUGGUAUAAAACCAAGAUCCAUACAUAGGUUUAGCAUAACAUUACACAACAGUAGUUCAUAGUGGCACACAUAGGUUCGACACAGCAUUACAUAAGUUCAAAUUUAGUGUUGGCAUAGGUAAAGUGCUCUAGUGCCUGAUGGAGCACACAUGCACUUGGAUACAUAGUCAAACAAGAACUCUCAGUAGUUCCCACUGGCAUAGAAGUACCCCUCCAUCAUUUUGCUCAUGUAUCUUGCCCUUUUCGGCCUAUUUCCUGUUGGCUGGCUAGUUGAAGCUUCUGCAGUAGUUCUUGGAGGAUUGAAGCUUCUUGCACCUGUUUUUGCACCUCUCCUUGCAGCAGCAGUACCAACACCAGAAGGAGAAGAAUUUGCAGCUCUAGCAGAUGAACCAGCAGCUCUAGCAGAUGUAGCAGCAGCUCUAGCAGAUUUGCCCCUUGAAGCAGCAGCAGCAGCAGCAGAUCCCCUUGAAGCAGAUGUAGAGCUUGCACCCCUAGGAGUUGUUGUACCAGAUGUUGAGCUUCCCCCUUGCUGCCAUGCAGGGGCUGUCCUGUUUUCCUGCAAUUAUUUUUGUUGGAUAAAUUUCAGUGAUACUUAAUGAGUGAUGAGAUAGAGAAGGAAGUCAAAAAUAACAUACCAUGUGUUUGUUCUUCCUGAUUUGCAGAUAUGGCCUCAAUGGCUUUGCACAACUUGUGUAUUUGUGGCCCUGCAACUUGCAGUUACUACAAGUUAUUGUAGCCAUUCUUGAUGUCUGCUUUGCUUGAGGAGGAUCAAACCUGCCUUUCUUCCUUUUCUCUUCUGCUGGUCCCUUCUUGUCUUCUUUGAACUGAGGUGGGUCAAUGUCAGGAGUUGCAGUUUUCACCCAACAAUCAGGACCAGGAACUGGGUAAAUGAUAGGCUUGUAUGACUCCAAGUACAUAGCCUUUUUGAAGAAAAUAUUUACAUGGUCCUUUGGUAGUUGUUUGGACCUGUAGAUGGCAGAACAACCAUGGUUGCAAGGAAUUCCAGAGAUGUCCCACUUCUUACAACCACAUGUUUUCAGAUUAGUGUCAACAGAGUAGGUCUUAUCCCCACUACUCACUUGGAAAAGACCUGGUCCAGCUAUCAAUGAUUUGCAGUCCCUUGCAUAUCUCUUGUUCAUCUCUAACCUCUCAGCAUAAGUUGGUGCAAUUUCCCAUCUUGAAACUAGUCCACCCUCUCUCUUUUGCUGAUACCUUACCAGAAGUUUGUCCUUGUUCCCACUGAUCAUGGUGACAAUUGGCUUGUUCCUUACAUCAAGUAUGUACUUAUUAAAAACUUCACUUAAGUUAUUAACAACCAGAUCAGUUUUGCAGUUAGUAUCCAUUGCAUGUCUUGACCAAGCUUUUGGAGGAAUCCUUGACAUCCACUCCCAAGCAGCCUUGCACUCAGCCUUCAUGCUCUCCAUUGCCAACUGAAAGUCAUGUUCAGUGUAAGCAUAUGCAGCUGCAUCCAUGCAUUUCUUCAAGUCUUCUCCUCUGAAUCCUGCUUUCUGAAAGUUGGCAUAAAUGUGCCUCAAGCAGUACCUAUGAGGGCAGUUGGGAAAGACUGCUAUGACUGCAUUCAACAGACCCUGCAAAGGAUUUUGAAUUUGUUAAAAUGAAAUAAAUUAUCAAAACAAAUUUUAAUUCAAUUUAAUUGUUGUAGUAAUAUCAUAUUGAUUUAAUAUUACAUUAAUUUAAUUCAAUUUAGUAUCGACAAGAUGCGUUACCACUCGACACAUGCCAACUAGGGUAGGUGGGAGGUUGGUUGGGCUAUGGUGGCCCAUAAGGGUCACCCUAGGCUAUCUUGACCAAAGUAUCGACAAGAUGCGUUACCACUCGACACAUGCCAACUAGGGUAGAUGGGAGGUUGGUUGGGCUAUGGUGGCCCAUAAGGGUCACCCUAGGCUACCUUGAUCGAAGUGUCGACAAGAUGCGUUACCACUCGACACAUGCCAACUAGGGUAGGUGGGAGGUUGGUUGGGCUAUGGUGGCCCAUAAGGGUCACCCUAGGCUACCUUGACCACUAUACACAUGCCAACUAGGGUAAGUGUUCAACAAAUUAAUGAACUAAAUACACUAAAUGCAGAACUAAUUAGACUAAAUACACUAAAUGCAUAACUAAUUAAACAAAUUAAUGAACUAAUUAGAGUACUAUUUUAGGGACAAGUGACGAUGUAGAUAAACUCACCUUCUGUCUAUCAGACAUGAAUGUGUACUUCCCAAAUUUUCCCUCUUCAGUCCCUCCUAGGGCAUAUUUGAGUUGAGUCAAAAACCAUGACCAAUUUGGUGUGUCUUCAACUCCAACCACUCCAAAUGCUAUGGGGUACAUAUUGUUGUUUGCAUCCCUUCCAGUAGCAGCUAGUAUUUGUGCCCCACUAGUUAACUUAAUGAAACAACCAUCUAGGCCUAUGAAUGGCCUGCAUCCAUUCAAAAAUCCCUCAACAGAUGCAUUCAAACAGAAAAAAAGACCAUGAAACCUUGGUCCUGCAGUUGGGUUUUCUCUUGUUUUUCCACUCACAGUACUGACAAUGCAUCUUGAUCCAGGAUUUGUAGCCUUCACAGUCUCCAAAAAAUCUCUCAGCCUCUUGUAUUGCCUCUUGUGAUCUCCAAGCACAAUCUCCUUUGCUUUCCUUUUUGCUCUCCAUGCCAUCAUCUUGGGCACCUCAACACCAAACUGCCUCUUUACCUUGUCAACUAUAGCAGGUAUAGUAGUGUUGGGGUCUGAUCUAAUAGUUUCAAGCAUUUUGUUGCCAAGCUACUUGGAGCUGACCCUUGUCUUGUCAGAUUGGGUGGGACAGGUGUGCUCCAAUACCAUCUUCUUAAUGCAGAAAGUGGGCUCAUUACUGAUCUUUGUUGCAACCAUGUGGAACUGACAGCCCUCUCCAUCACAACACACUAUUACCCUAUCACUGCAGUUUCUGUGAUAUUUGUAUCUUCUAAGUUGUUUCACAUGCAAAUUCACAAGAGCCUCUCUAAACUGGUACACAUCUCUGAAACAAAGCCUAAGCUGGAAUUGCUGCUCUGGAUGCAGUCUGCCCUCAUCAUACCAGACCCUAGGUGGUCUUUUCUUAGCUCUGCUCUUUCUACCAGAGGAGAUUAUAAAAGACAUAGGUUCAUUGCCAUCAUCAUCAGCUUCAAAGCCUGUAUCAUCCUCUUCUGAAGAUGGAUACCAGUCCUCAUUCAUGCUUCUGUUAGCACUAGAGUGGGACCUACUAGUAGGCCCAGGCCUCCUUAUCUUCUUCUGAACAGGCUCAGGAACUGCUAUCUCUUGACAGUCAUCAUCCUCUUCCUCCAAGUCUAUGUCAUAUAAAUCUUCAGGGUCUGUGUCUCCUUCACAGUGUGUACUACUCAUGUAUUGAGCUCUCUUCCUCUUAAUGUCAGCAAUUGUGUCUUUCAGAUCACUGCCCACUUUCCUCCUCUGUUCUUCUUCUCUAGCUACAUUAUCUUCUUCUUCAUAGUCCAUGGAAUCUGAAUCUGCAUCUGAGAGGUCUUCAUGAGCUACAAAGUCUUCAUCAAAUACUGAGUCAUCAUCUUCAUCAGAUGUGUCCUCAUUUCCUGCAUACUCUUCCUCAUCUGUAUCAAACUGGAAAUCUGCAUAAUUAACACUAACUUGAGUGUUAACCUGCUGCAAUGCAUUAUUUUCCUCAUCUGCAUCUACCAUCUCUGGCUCAAUUGGGUGAUCGUGCGUCCCAAGCAGUAACUGGCAUGGUGGAGGAACUGAUUUUAUUGGCAUAUAGUUCACACUUUCUUGUGUACCAAGAAAAUAUGAUGAGCCAACAUGAUCAGUGUUUGUUUUGUGCACAACACCUGACUCAUUAACAGCAAAUACAACUGGUGGGUCCACUGUUAAAUCUUCAAUUGUUUCAUCUGGGUCCACUUCUUCAUCUUCUGCACUUUUGUUAACUGGUGUUUGCAUUAUAUCUAAUUUCCCCUCUUUAACAUACAAACACAGUGUCUGACUGUUUUUAAACUGCUUUAUCAUCUCAUCCACUUCGGUGUUGUUUCUGACGAAAGUAAUCCCUUGCAGCCCUGUGCAAUCCUUCCUCAAGUAGCAAAUACUGUCAUCACUUCCAUACCCAUUUCUGACCAUCACACUAAGCAAACUGCCAUAAGUGAUGUCUCUCUCAUACAUCUUCACAAGGGCAUAUUUUUGGUAGCAUCUUUAGAAGGAAACUGAAAAUAUAAUGACCAUGGCUCCUCAGGCCUACAAAACACAAAACAUAUUAAUGACCAUGACAUUUUUAGUAACAUUUUCAAGCCUACAGAACACAAAUCAAAUUCAUGACCAUGACAUUUUGAGUGCCACAAUAAAAACUAUGACAUAUUCACAUAUAAAACAAAGUAACAGCAAUAAGAUCUAUGCCACAAGAGCUAACAAAUGCAGAAUAAACUAUGAUACAUUUAGUAAUUCAGAAAAAAACAACGAAAAAACUUCAUCUAGGCAUAGGAGCUUCCUCCCCCAACGAAGCAGUAUUGCUAGAAGUAACCCUAGGCAUCCUAACUAACUGAGUACUCUAACUAAGCAGUAUUGCUAGAACCCUAACCCUAGGUUUUUGCACUGAGAUUUACCUGGGUGGAGAUGGAUGCCCGGGGGGUACUUCCUCCCCCAACGAAUCAGCCGCCGCCGACGCCUUCUCCGCAUCCGCAACAUCCUUCUCUGCCUCCUCCGCAUGCUGCGACGGUGGCGGCAGGACAGCUUUUCCCCAAUCCGCCGUCGAGUGCGAAUCGCCAUCGGGGUUGGGGCCCAAGUUGCCAACGGGGUCGCAUUGCGGGCGGCGGCCACCGGAAGAAUGACCACCGCCGCCGGAGCCGUCGAGACCUUCUCCGCCAUAGCCGCCGCCGGAGCUGGUCGCCAUGAGCAGAGCAGGAGGAACGCGCGGGAGGGAAACUGAAUCGGGGAUUGGAGGACGAAACGGCAGGGGCGUGACCUAAUACACGGUCGCGGAAACGGCCGUCCCCCUCCGUCUAACGGCGUCCGUCAGCCCGCGCCACGUCGACCCGACAGGUGGGCCCGACCUGUCGGUUUCGCUGUUUCCGCGGCUAAAACGACUAGUCAGUGCUCCGUGGUACCGAUUAGUCCCAGAGUUGGUGGUUUUUUGUGACAUGGCUUAAAUGUGGUACCGACCGGUUACCCUAGCCCCAAGUGUAGUGGUUUUGGGUAAAUAACUCAGAUAUCGGGAGUAGAAGCAAAGCAUUUAUCUGCACAAAAGGUCUCUCUGAGCCUGUUACUAGCGCAAAUAAAGAACGACGAGCGAUCUGAAAGUACCUGCUCUAGCAACUCCCUGGAUGGGUCGCCCUCAGGGAAGUGGCAGGCCCAUCCCUUGGACCAGAUCUCAAACGCUUCAUCUUUCCAGACCAUGAAGCUCGCCGGGUCAACGCUGUCCUCGGUGAUCUCCUUGCCAGGGAACACUCCCCAUGUGACAGCGUUCACAGCGUUCGGAGGGAUGUUCGAGAACGACUCGCCUUCCUUGUUCACGGCGAUGUACGUGAGGGAAGGGAACACGUUGCUCUUCUCGAUGAGUUGGUCCGGCUUCUCCUUCGUGCAGAAGAAUUCCACGUAGGCCUUCUGGUAAACGUAGCCUCCUGGGCCGCCCCAUCCUGCAGAACAGAGCAGACAAUAAAGCAGGUUUACUAAGGCACACACCACACAGAGCUAUAGAAAAAUUACUGAAACAUGGAUGAAAAAGGAAAAUGCUAUCACACGGAAGAGACUUGAUUAUUAGAGUCCGGCGAGGCAUGUUCUUUGCGACUGUUUGAUAUGAGUAGCACUAGCUUGUAUGCUGAUAACCGAAAUAGACAUAGCUCUAUAAUGUGCUGAGAUACUGGUUCGUGCUGUGUGACUGCAAAUUAUUAGUGCAUACUCACUCUGUCCGAAAAAGUUUGUUUCUCAAAUGGAUGUAUCUAGAACGAAAUUAGUGCUAGAUACAUCCAUUUGAGAGACAAGCUUGGGACAAGAUUUUUCGGACGGAGGGAGUAUCAAACACACUGCAUUGGCUUGUAUUUUUGCACGUCAAAUGAGCAUCGGUUUCACUGCGUUGAAUCCAUAAACAAUUGAACAACUUUCGCAUCAGAAAUUCAGAGACUAGACUUGCUGAUGCAUGGACUAGUGGCAUUUUAAGUAGUACAAUAGGUAAAGGGUUUUAUGUCUGAAAAUACAGUCCUGUACUUAAACCUCUCCCAGUAGUACCAGGAGAAGACCAAGCAUACAGACAAGUAGAUUUAACGUACCAACACUAGGAGAAUCAUAUUUCUCUCCAUUUACAGCAGGUUGGCUGUUGAUGGUAAGGAAACCCUUCAAGUUGAUGUUCACCACCUGAUCGUCAACUAUCUUCGUAUCGGCGGGUUGAAGACCGCAUAGCUCAGACCAUAGGCUGCUUUCAAGUUUUCCUUGACAGAAUCUCACGAACCGCUGCAAGUGAGAAAGACAGGUUAGCAAAAACAGUGAAGCCUUUGAAAUUGUUUUUAUGCCAUACAGAGCAAAUGGGCAAUAAUAUGCUACUGUAUCAUGUACGUAGCUCAAGGGUUACCUCAAUAAUGUCUUGCACAGAUGUCAGUGGAACAGCCCAUUCGUCUUGGCCGUGUGAGCUGUGAAAGCAAAGAAUAGCCAAUGCCCAACAACUGAAUUACGUUGCCUUAGUCGUACUUGCAUUGGUUCUAAAAAACAGAGUGUAUUUCUUUAUGGAAGACCGAGACUACAAUUUGUACUGAUUCUGAACUACUAUCUGUACAUAAAGAACUAACUAAAUACCCAACCAUUUGAGAGUAUUAUGAAGCUUCAAAUUCAAAGAACAAGACGAUGAAAUUACCUGGUGGCCGUGAAGUGCCAGGCAUGAUGGGUUUCUGGAAUCGCCCCACCGCCCAACCAACCUGCGGUCUGCUAGCCCUGCUCGGAUACUCGCAUGGAGAAAAACAGCUCAGCGGAACAAGUCUAGUAGUGCAAAUGGAUCAAGAAAUCUUCUCAUCAGACGAUCGACCGACCGUGUGUGUGAUGUAGAUGUGUGGAGCAGGGAAACGGGACAGGCGGCGGCCCGCAGAUGGGAAGGAAUCGGCAGGCGGCGAGGAGGCGCCCUGGUCGGUGAUGAGUCGCGUACUAGGGCACUGGCACGGCGGCAGGCGAGCGGGGGAAGGGGCGAAGCGAACAGGGCAACAGGCUGCGGCGAUCGGUAAAAAUGGGGGCAGGCGUGGGCUGGGCACUGCGUGUUUUGGUUAUGGGCUGCAAUCUGGGCAAUUAGACGUGGGCUGUGCUCGUUUCGCUGCUGGACUUUUUAUUUUAUUCGGAUUAGCUAGCAUCUUGUGCACUAGUGAAUUCAGGUAGUAGCAUUCUUCUAAUGUUCUUACGGUGGCUGGAAAAUUGUCUACUGAUGUCUACUUAUGCACUUCUAUUCAUGUACUCUAUUGGGCCUCCAAGCACUAAUGAUUUUAGGACAACAGCAAUUUUUUCUCAAAUGAAUGACCUAAGAUUUAUCAAUCCCCGGAAGGUGUACGUUGAGAGUGAUCCUCUCGAAGAACACUGUAAUCAAAUACAAGUAGUUUCUUAUGUCCCCCACAAGCCUAAUACAACUGUUAGUUGUAUAGGAGCACUUGUUCAUCGAAGAGAUGAUGAUAUUAAGAAACAGUAAAAGGGGGCGAGCUACAGCUCCCCACAACGAUUUGAAGUUCUUGGCCGUCCGAUCACACUUAUCCACGGUUCAGAUCUCUGGGUCGUUUCACCGCUUGCAUGUGCUCGUUUCUUAACCUCUCAAAUCGCGUGACCUGCUCGGCCCACGAUAACUGGGCAGCUGCUCCGCAGGCCGACCUGGGAGUUAUCUCCUUAAUCGGGCCCGACAGUCAAAGGCGCCCAUAGGCCCAAUAACAGCAAACUCCCGAAUCGUUUAUCUUUCGGGAGCAACUAGUUAACGAGCGCUCCUUCGGGAGCUUCGCAACGAUCAGCGCCAUUUGGCGCGCUCUCAUCCAUUCGCCACGUGUCGCGCUCUGGACGCUCCCUCCGGAUUUUUUUUAUUUUUUUGCACGCGUUUUCGGCUUUUUAAACGGUUUUUCCCCGGGGUUUUCGACGUUUUGGUUUUCUCCCGGUAUUCCUUAGUUUUUCGAUAAAAAAUUGAUUUUUCAUGAAAAAACGCGUUUUUUCUUUCUUUCGCGAAAGUCACGGUUUUUUUCGCAAGAGACACGGUUGUGCUUUAGCGAGAGUCACGGCCGUGCCUUUCGGAAACAAAAAAAGAAACACGUUUUUUGUUUUUUUUCCUUUCGUGAGAGUCACGAUUUUGCUUCCGUGAGAGGCACGGUUGUGCUUUCGCGAGAGUCACGGCCGUGCCUCUCGAAAAGGGAAAAGCAAAACGCGUUUUCUGUUUUUUUUCUUUCACGAGAGUCACGAUUUUUCUUCUGCGAGAGGCAUGGUUGUGCUUUCGUGAGAGGCAUGGCCGUGCCUCUCAGAAAGGGAAAAAAUACGCGUUUUCUGUUUUUCUUUUCAUUCGCGAGAGGCACGGUUGUGCUUUCACGAGAGUCACAGUCGUGCCUCUCGGAAACGAAAAAACGUGUUUUCUGGUUUUUUUCUUCCACGAGAGUCACGGUUUUGCUUCCACAAGAGGCACGAGUGUGAUUUCGCGAGAGGCACGGGCGUGCCUCUUUGGGAAAGGAAAAAAACCGUGCUCCCGGUUUGGUUUUUUUGCCCGGUUUUUUUCGUCCGGUUUUUUCAUGAAAAAAAAGUUUGUCAAAACCUAUCAACAUAGGAUCUAGUUUUGAAGAUCUCAACGCGAGGAAUCCAAUGAUGAAAACGUUUCGAGAUUUGGACGCACGGUUUAAAAGAUAAAACAUUUUGAAUAAACGGAUCUAUGAAAAAAGAGAAAACUCCCAGGCCGUCGCAACCUGGGAAAGUGGAGUGUUCUUUGCAACGAGUACUCCUUAGGGCAUGUACAAUGGUUGAUAAGAUAGUCUUAUCUUAAGUUUUGCAUGUUUUUUAGAGAUGACAAAAAAAAUGUCUACAAUGGAUCAUUUCUUAGUCUUAUCUUCAAUAACUAGCAAUUCCUAAAAAUAUGGUGAGACAUAUUAUGCUACGAGAUCAUCUCUUGUCUUAUCUUAAAUAAAAGAAGACAAGCCUUCUCUUAUGAGUUCUCUCUUCUUCAUCUCAUCAUUUAUUCUACGUGGCAUUUCUAAGAUAACAUCAUUGUACAGGCCCUUAAUUAGUGAUUUCGUUAUCUCUCUCAGGAAAAAAAACUAUCCCCAAUCAAUUCCAAUCCCCACGAGUCUGUUCGUCUCGGCGGCGGCUGCGCGAAGGGGGUCGCUUCAUUCCCAUAUCUCUCUGCUUCGCUCAUCCACGAACCUCCGUCUCGCCGCUGCCGCCGUCACCGCCACCGCCCCCAUCAUUCCCCUCUGACCAUGUCUCCUCAGGCGAACCAUGGGUGGGCCGCCGCGGCCAGGUCCUAACCGUAGCCAUCCACCCGUUUUUCUCCCCCGCUACAACGCCGUGAGGGGCAGCAUCAGCAACGCGAGAAGGAUAUGGAGGCAAUAAUGCGGUUGAUUUCUUAUAUAUCGUUCGGUUCUAGAUGCCUGUCCUUCUCUUCGCUCUGUUUUGUCCAAAUCCUAACUCAUAAAUCGUGAGUUCGUUCCGUGUUUUUUUUUUGUGGUUCCCUCAGCCGAUGCAGCUAUAUUGAAAGAAGAUUACCUUCUACCGUUUUCACCAUGGAUGUGUGAUGAUUCUUUCUUGUCGUGGCUUGGAUAUAGCUGCUCACUGCUCCCAUCUAAUGUGUAUCAUCGCAUUUUUAAAGGAGAAAAACUGUUUGAAGAUGUAUGGGUACAACUUAUUUUUUAACGUUGGGCAAUGACAGCUUCAUGCAGUAAAUCUUGGAGCAUUUUUUAAAGUAUGCUUGUUUUAUUAUUCAGUAUAGUUAAAUAUUUCAGUUUGGGUAACCAAAACUGAAGCCUUGCAUCUAUUUAAAAAUUAGAUACGAUUAUACUCUAAUUGAUGCAGUUAUAAUUUGACUACCUAUGUAUGUAUUGCUUCGUCUGCACUUGCAAGAUCAUAAUAGGUAGUGCUUCAUCAUAAGCUAUUUUGUUUAACUUCUGACUUAACCACCCAUGCGCUUUCAUGCCUUGGGCAAACCAUUGGUGCGUUGCUGUCACCACUCUUCAAGAUUAGAGGAAAGGAUGAAGGACGAGGACCAGGAUGCAGCAUGGUCACAAAAGGUAAUAAAAAGCCUUACAGUUGUUCAUGUUAUUUCUGUGCAUAAUUUGUCACGAAAUUUAGUCAUUCCUUGUCACAAGUCAUGAAAAGGUUGCAAUGGAUCUCUUUUCCUGAAAAUGUGUGUGUCCUUGCGGAAAUAAAAUCUCAUGAAGAAGCAUUUGGUGUGGUUUGUGGAUUGAUGGAAUGCAUGCUUGCCAAGUCUAUUUCAAUAUAUUUUUCUUACUACUAUAGAAAUGCAUCCAGUGACAUCGAUAAUAAGAAAUAGCCAAGCUUAAAAUAUGCAACAUAUUCUUUUGCUACAGACCUAUUUAACUUUCAUUUUCCACAUCUAUACUUAUAGAAGUACAUAUCAUUUAUUUGUAAAAAUAGACGGGCGCAGCGACGCGCGCCAUAAUGAUCUAGUAUGUGUAUAUGGAUGGUAAAGAUAGCUUUCUGUAAUAUGAAUAAAUACAAGCAGCAAGGUAACAAGUAACAAAGUGAAUAAAAAUGGCAUUUCAAUUCUUGGAAACAAGGCCUAGGGUUCAUACUUUCACUACUGCCAACUCUCAACACCAUUAGCAUAGUUAAACAAUAGGAUAUGACCUCAAAAAGGGCAGUAAAUAAUCACUCUAAAGUUCCCUCUUUUGUCGGCUCGAAGUAGAUGAGGUCGCUUAGGUACGCAAAUAGCCAACCACCUCGAAGCCAUCUUGCUAAUCUUAAUCUAUUGAGCCACCUCAUUCUCAUCUCAGGGAGCUCCAGAAAUUAUACUAGGACAUCAUCGUAUGAUCUUUAUCAUUCUAACAUAUUAUCCAUAGAGUUACCCUAAUAUCAUUACAGGUCUCUGAAAGUUAUGCUAGACAUGCAUCAUGUAAUCUCAAUGAUUACCAAAAGAUUCAAUUCACCACAAACAUAGUUUGAAGGGGACACAUCACGUGAUUCAAUUGUAUUAAGAAAACCCUUGAUCACAAUCAUCAACAAAAAAUUCCAUGACCAAGAGGAGAUAGAUCACAUAGCUACUAGUACAUACUCUCAACCCCGAGAGAGAACUACUCACACAUCACCAUGAGAAGAGAAAUAAUUGUUGGUGAUGGUGAUGGAGACGGCGGAGAUGUCCACGACGGUGUUCUGACGCCACUAGAGACGAGGGGGGAGGGGCUUCCCUCCUUAUUCCUUGGCUUUCUCCCCUGGUUAGAGGGGUGUUUUCCCCUCUGGUUUUCGCGGUUUUGGUGGCUUUGAGACGAGAGCCUCCAUCGAGAUUGGNNNNNNNNNNNNNNNNNNNNNNNNNNNNNNNNNNNNNNNNNNNNNNNNNNNNNNNNNNNNNNNNNNNNNNNNNNNNNNNNNNNNNNNNNNNNNNNNNNNNNNNNNNNNNNNNNNNNNNNNNNNNNNNNNNNNNNNNNNNNNNNNNNNNNNNNNNNNNNNNNNNNNNNNNNNNNNNNNNNNNNNNNNNNNNNNNNNNNNNNNNNNNNNNNNNNNNNNNNNNNNNNNNNNNNNNNNNNNNNNNNNNNNNNNNNNNNNNNNNNNNNNNNNNNNNNNNNNNNNNNNNNNNNNNNNNNNNNNNNNNNNNNNNNNNNNNNNNNNNNNNNNNNNNNNNNNNNNNNNNNNNNNNNNNNNNNNNNNNNNNNUUUCAUAUGCUGUUUUUUGAGUCCCGUCGGCAUUUUGUAUAUUCCCGGAGAUUUGUAACUUUCAAAAAAUAUGCAAAUUUUAUAGUUUUAACCUAAAUACUCUUCUCCCCCACGGGGUAUGGUAUCUCUUCGAUCAUAUCUUCACAUCUAAAACCCAUUUUUAUUCCCCCACACUUCCUUGCCCACAUUUGAGCUAUUCUUGGGGAGUAGGAGGGGCAAGUUGAGAUCCAAGUAUUCGUCCUCUUUUGGCUGAUGAAAGAUUUGUGCAAGUUUCCAAGACUCUUUGAUUUUUUUUUACUCUUGGAGGUUGUAGGUAAACUUUAAGGCCAGGGUCAAUUUGUUCGGUUCGUGAGAAUUAGAGAUGGGGAACGAGAGUUGUGGGUGAGGGGAUUAAAAGUCCAUUAAUUGUGUAGAGGGAAUGGAAGUUUAAGUGAGAAGAGAAAUGAGAGUUGAGGAAGUCAACUCCAUCCGAUUUGUGGGAAUGGCCUUGUUAAUUUGUCGUUAGGCUCCAUCCCAAACUAAUUUUCAUGAUGUACCCAACAAAGCAAAAAAUAUAUUUCCUCCAACAAAGAUAGCUACCCUUUCGCCAAACAAACAACAACAAAAUCAUACAAAGAUUAGCUUCCCUCCAAGGAAAUGAACUUAGAGAUCAUCAUCACUCAUGCCAACUUUACUUCUUCCUAUCUCUUAUUACUUUUAUAACUAAUUUAGGUUGCUAAAUUGCUUAUCAUAUAUGAUCAGUUAGUUACAUUUGCAGAGAACUUAUAAUUCUACAAAUAUCUAAAAUCAGCUGCAAAACGUUCGUAGUCGUCUGUUCAAGCCCCCCUCUCUCCCUAGUUGACAUCUUCAAUCCUUCAUAGAUGAGUGGUUCUCAUUUGAAAUUACUCCCUCCGUUCCUAAAUACUUGUCUUUCUAGGCAUUUCAACAAAUGACUACAUACAGAGCAAAAUGAGUGAAUCUACACUCUAAAAUAUGUCUACAUACAUCCGUAUGUAGUAGUCAUUUGAAAUGUCUAGAAAGACAAGUAUUUAGGAACGGAGGGAGUAUAACCCAAGUAAUGAACUGAGCUUCUGUCGUGGCAGUAAACUGUAUUACCACGUAUAUACAUUAAAAAGGCUUCAACUCAUCAUUGGGUAAAAUAAACCUAGGUAACAAAUAAGCUAGACAAGUGGAGAGACUGCACACGAAGGAACACAGAUAGAAAAUUCUUAUUCAUAGAGUGGUUUGGAUAAAUCGACAGAAAUCACGACAAAUCAUAUUACAGGACUCUAGCGAAGGGCGGUCAAACGCAGCAUACUGUAAGGUCUCAUCGAAAU